rnacentral:rRNA from 1 species
UACGGAGGGUGCGAGCGUUGUCCGGAAUCACUGGGCGUAAAGGGCGCGUAGGCGGCCCGGCAAGUCAGUGGUGAAAGCCCGAGGCUCAACUUCGGGUCGGCCACUGAUACUGCGGGGCUCGAGUCGACUAGAGGCAGAUGGAAUUCCUGGUGUAGCGGUGAAAUGCGCAGAUAUCAGGAGGAACACCGGUGGCGAAGGCGGUGGUCUGGGCCGGCACUGACGCUGAGGAGCGAAAGCGUGGGGAGCGAACAGG